CUUCAGCGAGCCCAGCCAGAGCGGCCGGUCGGCGGGCCGUUCCUUGCCGUACGUGGCGAGCAGGGCCCGCGCCUC
rfam:Streptomyces viridochromogenes DSM 40736 genomic scaffold supercont1.1, whole genome shotgun sequence.